rnacentral:rRNA from 1 species
AACGAUGAAUCCCAGCUUGCUGGGUGGAUUAGUGGCGAACGGGUGAGUAACACGUGAGCAACCUGCCCCUGACUCUGGGAUAAGCGCUGGAAACGGCGUCUAAUACUGGAUAUGUCCCAUCACCGCAUGGUGUGUGGGUGGAAAGAUUUUUCGGUUGGGGAUGGGCUCGCGGCCUAUCAGCUUGUUGGUGAGGUAAUGGCUCACCAAGGCGUCGACGGGUAGCCGGCCUGAGAGGGUGACCGGCCACACUGGGACUGAGACACGGCCCAGACUCCUACGGGAGGCAGCAGUGGGGAAUAUUGCACAAUGGGCGCAAGCCUGAUGCAGCAACGCCGCGUGAGGGAUGACGGCCUUCGGGUUGUAAACCUCUUUUAGCAGGGAAGAAGCGAAAGUGACGGUACCUGCAGAAAAAGCACCGGCUAACUACGUGCCAGCAGCCGCGGUAAUACGUAGGGUGCAAGCGUUAUCCGGAAUUAUUGGGCGUAAAGAGCUCGUAGGCGGUUUGUCGCGUCUGCUGUGAAAUUCCGAGGCUCAACCUCGGGCUUGCAGUGGGUACGGGCAGACUAGAGUGCGGUAGGGGAGAUUGGAAUUCCUGGUGUAGCGGUGGAAUGCGCAGAUAUCAGGAGGAACACCGAUGGCGAAGGCAGAUCUCUGGGCCGUAACUGACGCUGAAGAGCGAAAGGGUGGGGAGCAAACAGGCUUAAAUACCCUGGUAGUCCACCCCGUAAACGUUGGGAACUAGUUGUGGGGUCCUUUUCACGGAUUCCGUGACGCAGCUAACGCAUUAAGUUCCCCGCCUGGGGAGUACGGCCGCAAGGCUAAAACUCAA